rnacentral:lncRNA from 1 species
UGUGACCAUGCGGAUGGGGAGCCAUGUCCAGAAAGGUGAAGGACGGGCAGACGAGCCAACAGAUGUGUCCCACCAAAGAGGAUGGACCCCUGCCCUUAUCUUGGGGGCAGGAGGCCACUCUGAAAGAGGAAAAAGCUCAGAUGAGGAACUUCAGUUGAGAGAGCCUGGCUGGAGCCUUAGGGGGUAAACUCAAGUGCCUCUGGGUGACUCAGAUUGGACAGGAAUCUUAUGGAGUCAUCUUCACCUGUAUUUCCAGUGCUUGGGCUGGGUGACUUAAAAGGCUAGGCUCAGUGAAGGCUGUCGACAAAAACACCAACAUACGGCCUCACCAUGUGGCUUGGACUUCUUCUCAGUAGGGCAGCUUCAGGGUUGUUGGAAGAGCAAGUGUCCCAAUGAAUGAGGGAGAAGCUACAUGGCCUUUUAUGACCCAGCCUCAGAAGUCAUGUGGUAUAUCUUCCACCAUCUCCUAUUAGUUGAAGACGUAAACCCUAGCCAGCUUCCAGAAGAGGGGACAUGGACCCCAUCUCUUGAUGGCAAGUUUCAAAGAAUUUUGAG